UCUAAUCAAUAAAUUCUUCGCCUUAGUGACUUGUGGCUUCAGUGCUUGUGCACCAGCAAAAGAAAAUGGGAGCAGGUCCCUCAGGCGUAAGUCACAAACCAGAGAUGGUCACACUUUAACAGAUGUUAAGUACACCAGUAACCAGGGACAGUUUCUUAGGCGGUUGUGAUGGAGGUCAUCAUAUUUGAGAAGAUUGGAAACCACAGGCUGAUAAGGCAGCUGGGACGCAGUGAGCUGAUAACAUGCGGAUUUUGCGAGGUCUCCCCCUCACAGCGUGUCUGCUCUGCGAUGGCACAGCCUCCUGUGGGCGGGGCCUGAAUUCUGUCCCCGUUGAACCAGCACUUCCUCGCUUUGAUAAAGCCGGCGAUUGGGCAGGAAAAUACAUAAUUGAACAGAUCAAAACUACAAGGUGUGCCCUUUACAAGACUGAGUGAAACAACACAUUCAUUGGAAGGCAUGUUUCAGUUUCCUAAAGGAGGCUUCAUGCAACAUCCAGGGGCACCGAAUAAACACAGAGGUCAGCGCCUGCCUGGCAAGCCUUGGAGCGCCUGUCACUUGGACAGAGGGUAGCGCAUCUCAUAUCUUAAAGCCGUCAGCACAGACGCAGUGACACCUGUUCAAGCAGACUUCCAAAGACAGCACACACCAUUGACACAAAGAGCUCCUCCACAUUGCAAGGAUACAGCGACGGGAACUGGUACAUA